CGGAUGCGCGGUCUCAUGCAGUCAAUGUCCACAUGUGACGGUCUCACCCCCAGGCUCCCGCACGCUGAAGCUCAGUCGCACCAGGCACUGUUCUGGGCUCAGAGACACCAGAGGAAAGAGACAACCCUGUCUUCACGGAGCUUCCACUUUAGCAGGAGAGACAAGCAAUAAACAAAUGAGGAAAUCGAGGCACAGGGAGAUGAAUCCCUUACUGAAAUCACAGCUGGUAAGCAGAGAGACCAGAGUUCUCACUAGGCUGUCUGGCUCUAGAAGCUGCAAUCUUUGAUCACGUCUCUUUUACUGAGCUUCAGGACCCUCUACUGUGCGAGAUCAUCGCUGUCAUCUCCCCUCCAGUAAAGCAGAUAAACAAGGGCCUCCUAGAAUGGGUGACCCCCUUCUGCACUGGGCCGAAAUAAAAACAGCUUCCAAACCUGG